rnacentral:lncRNA from 1 species
UUUCAACUUUUCCCACCUUCCACCAUUAAUACAUCUUGUUUUAUUUCUUGUUCUCUUUUGCGUACCAUAAACUAAAGACCAGACUCAGUGGUCCGCCUGCACCUCUUCUUCAUUCAUUCAUGGAUUACCAUCCCUUCUCCAUUACUGGGCGGGGGCUGCUUUCUGUUUCUUUUUCAUAACAAUUCCAUGGCGGCUGCUUCUAACAAAACUUUCACUCCGCAAAGCAACUCAACGAACACACACUUUACCCUCCUCUUCAUCCUUCUUCUCCUCCUCGUUUCGCCGGUCUUUGCUAGCCGGCCGCCGCCAGCCUGUCCCUCUUCCUGUUACGACCAACUUUUCUCAUCAUCAUCAUCAUCAUCUUCUUCUUCUUCUUCUUCUUCUUCUUCUUCUUCUUCCCCAACGUCAGCUCAAAAACCGGCCUCGAAUUCGCAUCCGUUUCAGGCACCGACGAUCGCCGCCGCCGAAGGCAGUCCUAGAGAUCGACGGUUCAAAGGUGCUGCUCACGAGGUGCCUAGUGGACCGAAUCCUGAAUCCAACUAGUAAGCUCAAAAGGAAGCAUCACAUUUCACCACCACUACAAGCUGCUUCCAUUGUCCUCGUUCUCAAAUAUUCCCCUUUUUUUCCUUCUCAUUUUACACUUUCCUUUGAUGUGUUACGCUGGUACAUGUAAUGUAUGAAAUUUUUGUUAAAGGAUAGAUAAAGAUAUAUAAGGGUUUUAUCCACUUCAUUUUAUUUUUUUAGUUAGUAUGGCAUGUUAUGUUUUUCUCAAUAUGAUUUUAUUCGGAGUUAGUAUUUAUUCAAUAAUUAAAAAAUUAAUUAUAAAUAUUAAUAUAAAAUAUUUUAAAGUUUUUUAAUAUUAUUUGAAUAACGCUAUGAGCUCUCAUAAGUAAUAUCGAUUUCAAACAUGGUAAACGUUAGUUUAUAAAUUAAAUUAAAUUUCAAGUUGUUAGCUGUUAUAUGUUGGAUUUUGAUAAUAUGUAAUUGGAGAGAUUUGAUUUUGUUUUCAAUUAUUGAGGUUAAUUAGUAAUCAAUCUGUCCCGACCUCAUUUCCAAUUGCCCAUUGAAUGCCCCAAAAAGCAUAGCCAUGGCCUCUAUAAGUAUGAUCUCCAUAACCACACUACCCCUGUUAGACUGGCACCUAGCUACUAAGAGACCUCCAUCGUGGUCCCGCAAAAUAGCUCCAUGGCCCAUUAGUUGUCCAUACUGCGCAGUGCUGGAUUCAACAUUAAAGUUUCAGAUCAACUGACCCGUUCGCUAAUCACUAGGACAAGCUAUUUGAAGUCUCAAACAGCUAGACGUUGUGCACAAUAAAAGUUGUGCAUGUAAUUACCAGUAAAGUCAAUGAAGGGUCUCACUUUGGUAAUAAAAGUUUACUUCUCAUCCCCAAAAUUUUCUAGCAUCCAGGGAGCAUCCUAGUCCAGUACGUAGUUCAUUUUGUUCACAAAGCAAACACCAGAGUCCACAACACGUAGGCACGUGAAAGGCUUAGUAACUUCGCAUGCAUGAAUGAUCCUGGUAAUGACUCAUGUUCGUGCUCUUUAGAUGUUUCUUCCAAAACAAAAAGCUUUACAGAUUACCCAACUGAUGGGGGAUUCUCAUGUCACGGCAGUUCCAUGCCAUAAGCGUCACUUAAUCUUUGGUGUUAAUCAUAUUGUGAUCAAUUGUCUUCUCACGGACUAUACUCUUUUUCUCCAUAUCUAUCGGCUUUGCCCCAAGUUGAGACUCAUAUAGCCCAUCACAUGAGUAAACGCAUGUGAGAUUUGGUUACCUAUUUUCUUAUCUAUUAGCUUUGCCCCAAAUUGAGAAUCAUAUUCCAUCUCCUGAGUUUAGUUUUGCUCGUAUUCACCUCUAUCUGACCCACAUAUUUACAGCCCAAAGGAUGCUCAAUGUAAAUUUUAAUAUUUUGAUACAUGUAUGUAUGUUAUAGUUUAAUUAUUUCAUAUAGUCAACCAAAUCACUAGUUUAAGAGAAAACUUUUUCUUAAUUUAAGGUUUUGGAUGAAAUUAUAUUCAUAGUUUAAAUUUCCACUACUCAAUCUUCCCUUCAUUGUAAAAAAAAAAAAAAAACUCAUAUUAUAUUUAUAUUACAUCUAUAUUAUUAUUUAAAUUUUUAACUAAAUUAGUGUCACGAGUUAAUUGACUAACAAUUUAAUUAGAAAAAGAUUAAUUUACCCUUCCUAUUAAACAAUUAUUAUUAUUGUUUGAUGACAUUUUUGCUUUUUAUUAUUUUAUAUAAAUUUAAAUUAAAUAUAAAUAAAAUUAUCAUAUACAUUAAUGAUUGAACACAUAUUCAAUAUAUAAACAAAUUUUUUAUCAUUACACUAAUAAUAAUUAAUAAAUAUUUUUAUAUAAAUUAUUUUCUUUUAUCAAUAUAGUGUAUAUAAAUAAGAUUAUUAAUUAAAUUAUAUCACAAAUUAAUUUAAUAUUUUAAAUACGUAAUCUUUACUAGUAGCAAACAAAGCAAACCGACAAAUCUCUUCAUAGGUUGAGAAAAUUAAUGAAAAUACUUUAUUGGAACAAUACUUUAGUUUGAGACAGAGGUGCAGCAGCUACUCAGUUUGCUCUAGGCUAGACUUAGAAGUUAAAAUUUUCAAUACCAAACCAGCGUAGGCUCAUUUACUGUUUAAUAUAUAAAAAUAAUAUUAUAUUUUUAUAAUUAAAUUUAAAUAUUUUUUAUUAUCUUUAAGUAAUAAAACAGGUGAAUUGGGUGGCUGGGCAUCCACCUACAGUCAAAUGUAAAUUUAAUUCAAUUCAUCAACAUUUCUAGUUUGAGAAUUCAUUUAAAAUAUUUUGAAAUUGAAAGAUUAAUUUAAAAUUUUGAUUUAUAGUUUAGGGAGGUAUGAUGAAAUUAAACAUUUUAUUUCUAUCUAAUUUUAGUAAAUUACACUGUCACUAAAUUAUUAGUAAAUUUAUAUUUUAGUCACACAAUUUUAAAAAGUUACAAAAUGGUUACCGAACUAUUCAAAUGUUUUCAUUUAAGUUAUCAUACUGUUAAAAUCGCUAUUAUAUGACCUUUGUUCUCACUGCUUGCUCCAAUCUAAAUCUUUUCUUCUCUUGUACAGUUCGGGUUUUUUUUUCAUGAAACAACAUCGAGGAUCACAAAUUUAUGAACUAAAAUCAAACAACUUUUUUAUCCAAUCCUCCGUGUUGAAUGUUAGAUCGACUUGGAUCCAAAGUAUAUCGAUGGGUAUUAAUCUACCGUACCAAUCAUCAAAUCGUCACUUAAAACUUACUAGUCAAACUUUUUAACCUAAUAAUCUAAUGACUUAAAAAAUAAUUUUCGAAUAAUUUAAUAUUUAAAUGAAAUUCUCCUUCUUCUUUUUUAAUAAGUUACCAAAAUCUAAACUUUGGGCUAGUUUGCACAUCUAAUUUUCACGGUCUUAACAUUUUCUCCAUGGAUAACACAUUUUUUUAAUUUCAUUUUCAUAGUAUAAUACAUAAACAGGGAAAAAAACAUUAAAAAAAAAAAUCUGUGGAAGCAGAGUGUGAAAAUAGGUAGGUCCAAGUAGGGCAGAGCUCAGAAACGCAAAAGGCGUCUUCUCUUCCACCAACUUGUUGGCCUUCUUCUUUCCUUUCAUCUUUCUUUCCUUUUCAGAAAAAAAAAAUGGAAAAAGAGGAGAAAAUCAAUGUUAAUAUCGAUGAAACCCUAACAGAAACAGAGAAUGAAGAACAUGUUGAAGAUGAAAAAGAAAGACUUGAUGCUAACCUUCCACCUGAGGAAUUUCCAAACGAGUUCCAAUGUUGCGUUUGCUUGUAAGUUCCUUUUCCAUUCCCUCCUCCUCCUUUUCAUUUUCAUUUCCUUUAAUUACAGCUUAUAUUAUUGAUUUUCUUUUCUCUUCUUCAUGUGUAUGUAUUUAUAUAUUGACGAUUUAUUUAGCAUGAUUGUUUCGAGUUUAUCAUCAAAUUAUGUGAUCUCUGAGAAUAAUCUUAUUCGAAGGAUAGUUUAAUUGUAAAUUUUAGAAUUUUAGGAAUUAUAUUUAUAACUGCAAACUCUAGGGUUAUAUAUAUCUGAUUAUAUGUUGAAUUUAGGUUUAGAAAGUAGGAAUUGGAGCUAUUAAGUUAUCGAGGUUCGAAACAUUGACUGUGCUAUGUAUUAAGUUGUUUUGUCCCUCUUUUUGUUAGAUAAGUUUUAGAAGAAAAAGAACUUAAAUAAAGCUCAAUCUUAGCGGGUUUUUGGUGCCUCUAACUUUAAUCUCAGCUUUAUUUAUUGGUUUAAGCAUGUUGUGAAUUCUUUGAAGGUUGAAAACUGGAGCUUUCUUUUAAGCGAUGAAUCUCAGUAUAACGAUAAGCUUGUCAAAACCAAUAUUCCACAUCUGGCUGUCUUCUAACUGUAGCAACCUUAUGGUUGUCUAAUGGCUUAUUUGUAAUCAUUUGCAGAAAGUGUGCCUAUCCGGGAACUUGUGAAAUUUGACAAAAAUGUGGAUAAUGUCCUUUUCUAUGGGAACUUGUUUGCUUCAUUACUCUGUUCCUUUAUUUCUUGUAAUACCAACAUAUAUAAAUCAUAAUUCGCAUUAUGCUUGUCAAUUCUUUUCAAGUCAAGUUUUUGGGUAGUUUAUGAGCAAAUAAGAAUCAUAAUACCCAUCAGUGAUCCGAAGUUAAUAGCUACAUUGUUCUGGUUCUUCAUUUUUCUCAAAGUACCGUAUCUGACAUCUGUGUCUGACGAAUAUUUGGACAUGAGUAUGGGAUAUGACCCUUCUAGGACCCUCCAAAUAAAUGAAAAAUCUUAGAAAAUUUUUAACAUAUUUUGUCUGACGCUCACAUCUAGUAACUUAGGUUAAUAGUUUAGUCACAAAUCCUAUAUGGUAUAUGACUUCUUACAAUUUGUGUGUACUUUGUGGUUAUUAGUUUGUUGGAGCUCUAUUUCCUUGGAUACCUUCUCAAGGUGAUUUCCUUUUGUGUUCCAGGGAACUCCUUUACAAGCCUGUUGUAUUAGGUAAGAAGGCAAAAUGCUCGACUAACUUCUGAUAAGUAAUUUUACCUGUAAGCCACCUUUACUUUCCAUAUUUGCAGCCUGUGGCCACAUGUCAUGCUUCUGGUGUGUCUAUAAUGCAAUGAAUCAUGUUUAUCAGUCAAAUUGCCCCAUUUGUCGGUGCCCAUUCAAUCAUUUCCCAAGUGUCUGCCAAUUGCUGCACUUUUUGCUUCUGAAGUUGUAUCCUAUAGCCUAUAAGAGAAGGGAAAGGCAAGUCCAAGGUACCGUUGUUUCUUCUUUCUCAUUUUCUUUAAAUUCUCAAAAAUCUGUUAACAAAUUAUAAGUUUGGCGGAAAAAGGUUUGUUUCUAUCAUCUUUUAGUCAAUGACCCAACUCUUCUGAAAAUUUUAUUGAAGUUCUUAAUUCUCAGAUGGUGGAGAAGUGUUUAGUUUUCUUAUGAAAUUGAUCUCUUCUACUAAUGGUAAAUAUUAACACUGGUGAAAUCCAACUUUGCUUUAGAAUACCAAAGAUACUUAUGCUUUCAAUUAUGCGAAUUAUGAACUAGUUGCAUAAUACUAAUAUGCUCCAGUAAGAUCUGAGGAAAUCUGUAAGAUGCUUGGAAGAAAAACUUUUAAUCGUGUUGCUGAGUUCCACUGAAAGAUUUGUGAUAAAGAAAUUCACAUAUUAGAAUGACUUUGCUACCAAAAACCAGGGAGAAGAUAUUAGCAUGCUGACUAAAGAUUUUUAUUAUUAUAAGAUGGGAAAACUUUUCUUCACAGAUGUUGUGAUCAGUUUCAUUAAUUACUUUGGUGCUUGCUCAUUUGAACCCCCCCUCCCCCCAAGAAAGAAACUUCCCCACGUUGGAAAAUGAUGAUGCUUUGUGUUUUCUUUAUUUUUUUUUAUGUCCUUUUCUUGUUUCCUUGUGCAGAAGAAGAGAAUGAAGCUGGCCGAUUCUCACUUCAAUUUGAUAAAAAUUUAGUUGAACCAAUGCCUUGUGAGAAUUCAGAUAUUUUCGGGAAUAACCAAAACCAGCCUCAUCUUGAAAUGGACAUUCAUUCAGAAAGUUGUUCUAAGGAUCAGGAAUCUUCCUCAUCCAGAGAUUCACUAAAAAUGACCAUGCAGGAUGAAAAUGGUAUAGCAAAUAAACCAACGACAUCUUCAAAGGACCCUGAAGUUUCUAGAAAUGAACCCAACGAAGGAAAGAGUUGGAUCCAAAAUGAGUUUGAGCAUAAAGAUCAAAAGGUUUCUAUUGCCGAUUUACUCUGUGCUGCAUGCAAGAGGCUGCUUUUGCGACCAGUUGUUCUCAAUUGUGGCCAUGGUAGUAUAUAUUCAUUUUAUCUGUUGUCCCAAAAGCCAAAGGGUUAGAGGAUAUUGUUGUUGAUCAUUUACUUUAGUUUCUUCUUUGUUGCAGUAUAUUGUGAAUCUUGUUUUCUUAUUCCAAAAGAUGAAAACCUUAGGUGUCAAGUCUGUAAAAGCUUGCAACCAAAUGGAUUUCCUAGUGUUUGUUUAAUUCUGGAGCAAUUCUUGGAGGAGCACUUUCCUGAAGAAUAUACAGAAAGACAGAGGACUUUACUCAAAGAACACAGUUGUGAGCAUCUUACUCUCAGAAUCAUUGAUGAUGUUUAUCUCAUUUAUUUUGACCAUCAAUUGAAUUAGGCUAUUUGGAUCAUUUUCACUUUGCUUUCAUGUCCUGUGAAAAGAUAGAAUUUAAACCCUAUAUUCUUUUCUCUUGGUUUCUUUUGGGGACUUUAUCAAGAGCUAAAUAAUUAUAAGAAAAUGGGGUGGAAAAGCUAAAUAUUUAAUUAACACCUGAAGCUGCUUGGGUUGUUCUUGGCUUUCUCUCUCCCCUCAAAUGCUUAUGCAUCUGCAGACACUCAAAAUACUCUUAUGCUUUAAUUGAAUCUUUCUUGAUGAAAAAAAAAAUUGUCUUCUGUUUCAUGCAUUGUUAACCUGACAAGACAACUAUGUGUGUUUUAAAGUACUUCCUCUGUUGGUGACACUCCCCACAGGCUUGAGCUUCAUAGAUCAUUUUGAUUAAUUAAGUUUUACCACCUUGUUUUCAAUUUAACUCAUUUCUGCCAUUAAACUUGGGCUCAGGUUCAAUACAAGCUCAACGAGAUGCAAAGCGGUCAGCAGCAUCAAUGUCCAUGGAUUUCUACUCAUCAUGGUUUCUUGGCAAUGGGCCAAAAGUUCAUAUCGGAGUGGGCUGUGAUUAUUGUGGGGUAAGUUUUCAGUAAUUAGUACUAAAUUAGCGUAAUAGGCUUUCCAAUAUUGUAUUCCUUUUAUUUAGUUCAUUAUUGAUAUGAUAACUACAGCAUCUCUUUUUGGCUUUUGCACCAAAAAAAGUAAAAAUAAUAAUAAUAACCUUUUGUUAGAAAUUUAUUUCAUCAUACUACUAGAGUAUGCGAAACAUACUAUAACUGAUUUUUGAGAAAGGAAAAGAAAAUCCCUAUGUCCCCUUUCUCCCUCUACUUACAUGCUUGAUAUUGUAAUUACAGGUUGAGAUCUAGAAAUGGUUAUUAUUAUCAUAGCCUAUGGUUUUAUUAGCAUUUAUAUUCCUAUCAUGCUCACCAAUUUAAAGCUAAAGCUCUUUUAGGUUAAGUCCUUGUUUGUUUGUUUUAUAUCCCGCGGUUGGAGAAAUUUCUUCUGUCAUUUUCGAUGCCACCACAAAGUGGAUGGUGGGUGAUGCUUCGAUUUGUAAUCGCACACUGUUAUGUCCUGUUGUUGGCAGACACGUUUAAUGAAUAUGCCAAUUUCUUACAAUUUGUUGCAGAUGACUCCAAUAAUAGGGGAGAGAUACAGAUGCAAAGACUGCGUGGAGAAAAUAGGUUUUGACCUAUGCGAAUCAUGCUACAAAGCUCCGGCUAAGAUCCCUGGUCGAUUUAAUCAGCAGCAUAAACCCGAGCAUCAAUUAGAAAUUGAACAGCCUUUAAGCCUAAGUGAAUUUAUAUCCAGGCUGACCUCGGAACAAUCCGAUGAUGAUAUCUCAGAUGCACCUGGACAUACCGAUGAUGCUUCACAUAUGCCUAUGUUGUCAGCCAGUGUUCAACAAGAUGAAGGUGAUGGUUCUCAAGACCCUGAAGAUGUUUCUCCUUCUCUGAUUUUAUCAGUUGAUGUGUCAUUGGAUCAAGAGGAUGACUCUGAUGAUCCAAAUGAUAAUAUUUCAUCAGAUACGAUAAAUCAAGGGUUUAAUCCUGUUAAUUCAUGCAAUUACUCUUAGAGAGUAUGCAUAAAAAAAGUUUAGGGCUGGAAUUUAUGUAUUUAUAAUUUCUUCCCCCCCCCCCUUCCUUUUUUUCCUAACCACAGAAAAAACAGUUGUGUAAUUCAUAAUCCGUAAUGGUGAUAAAAUUAUUGCUUAGAUUUUAUACUUCAAUACUUUGAAAAGCAUGAUUUUACUUUUAUCUAUAUCACUUUUUUCAUAUUGGUAUUCAAGGUUUAUUUUUUAUAAUUUUGAAGUCCCAUAUCAUCGGAUUUAAACUAAAUUUAUUGCUGACGAUUUAAUUAUUUAAUUAUAAUUAUUGAUAUAAAUUCAAUACCCAAUACCAUUUUUCGAAUGCAACACACAUGGAAGGAAAACGAAUUGGAUAGCAUUAUACAUUAAUCUUUAAAAAUACAAUAUUUUUUCAUUUAAUUAAGGUGUUAAAAAAAUAAAGUUUAAAUCAUUAAUAUUUUUGAGGUGCUAAGAUUAAAAUAUUAUCGUUUUUUUUUAAAUCCAAAAGUUAAAAUAUUACCAUCUAAGAAAAGCUUCAUAUAUUAUUUUUUUCAACAAACAAAAUAAUUGCCUUGCUAGCUCAAUUGGUUGCAACUUUUUGUUACUAACACAAAGGCGAACCUGCCGGACAAAUAAGUUAUUAUUUAUUUUUUUAUCUGUAAGUUGCACGCAAAUGUUACCGCGUGAUUUCCAAAACAAACGUCGUUAAUUCCUAGGCGUCUAAUGGGGUAAUUUCAAAAUAGUCACCUUUGUUUGCUUCAAAUUACAUUUUAGUCACUUAUGUUUGAAAUGUUACAUUUUAGUCAUUUACGUUAUCGUUUUUGUUACAAAAUAGUCACUGAAUUGUUAACGACUAUUAAUGGUGUAGCGGCAAUCUGAUAUGACCCAUUAUUUCAUCAUAUCAGACUAAAAUUUUAGAUCAAAUCACACAACUAAUCCCUAUAUUUUUAUUUUUUAAAACAAUUUAAAUUUUUUUUUCUUUUUAUUUCUUUACUCUUUACUCCUUUGAUUUUUUUCUCUUCUCAUAUUCUUCACUACAUAAUAUGUGUCUAAAAGUUGGAGGUUAAAUGUUAAAAUUAAAAUUUUAAUCAAAUGUCAAUUCAUCACUGCAAAAUAAUUUUUAUUUUAUUCAAAGUAAGAAAAUUUAAUAAAGCUAUUUGAUUUUCCUCUUUUUUUCGUCCUCUUCCCCCUUUAUUCCUUUUUUUUUCCUUUGAAUCUUACAAUUCAUGUCUUCUCACCUCAUAAUCCCUCGUUUUUCCUUUUAGUUUCUUAGAAAUUUUUGUAGGGUUUUCCUUAGUUGGGCAUGUAAGGAUAUGUUACUUACAACUUUUUUUUUUCAUUCUUUUUCUUGUUUGAAUCUUGUGUUAUCUCAUCUUUAUUCAUCAAAUUAGUGUCAUAUAAAACAUUAAUUUGAUCUUACCAGAUGCUUAGCUUUCCCAGCGUAGAUUUUAUAGUUUUUGUAGUCUUAGCAUUUAAUCUAGAUUCAUGUUAUUGCUUGCUUACUUAUUUCUCUUAUUUCAACUUUGAGUUUUUUAUUACUGUUCAAGAUUAACUUAAGAAUUUUUGUUGUGUGUAAUUAUUAAUUUCACUCUAAAUUUUCUUUAGCCCCAAAACAUGGGGUCUAGUACACCAAUUAAAUUUAAAAUCUGUUAAAUUUUAACAUGAUUCAUUCAACUGUAGAAAAAAAUGAGUACAUAUCUCAACACCCCCAAAACUGAAAAUUUGUCUGAAGAUGGUGAGGAUGAUGGGGUUAAAAUUUUAAUUUUAACCUUUUAACAUUUAGACACAAUAUUCUGCAAUGAAGAGUAUUAGAAGAGAGAAAAAUAAAGGAGAAAAAAUAAAUAAAAAGAGAAAUUUAAAUUGUUCAAAAAAAUAAAAGUAUAGGGACUAGUUGUAUAAUUUAAUCUAAAAUUUUAAUUUGAUAUGAUGAAAUAACGGGCUACGUCAGAUUGCGGUUACACCAUUAACAGCCGUUAACAACUCAGUGACUAUUUCAUAACAAAACGAUAGCGUAAGUAACUAAAACAUAACAUUUCAAACAUAAGUGACUAAAAUGUAACCUGAAGUAAAUAAAAGUGACUAUUUCGGUAGUUUACCCGUCUAAAACCCACUUCAAAUUUAACCCUACCAAAACAAAAACCGGUUUCUUCUAUUUCACACUCUUGAUUUUUUCCCGAGAAAAUAAAAACAAACAGAAAAUAACUCUUUUCCAGAUGGGAAAGCCACGAUUGUUGGAUCUUGAGAACCAUUUUGCGUUUUAUGGGGCAUAUCACAGUAACCCAAUUAACAUUUUGAUACAUACUUUAUUUGUCUGGCCGAUAUUUUUCACAUCUCUUAUACUUUCCUACUUCACCCCAGCUUUCUGUGAUCUUUCUCAAUCUGGGAUUUUUCCUUCUGGAUUUAAUUAUGCUUUGGUUCUCAAUUAUGGAUCUGCUUUUUCUAUUUUCCUAGGCUUGUUUUAUGUAGUUUUGGAUAAGAAAGCUGGGUCUUUGGCCGCUUUGCUGUGCUUAGCUUGCUGGGUUGGAGCUAGUUUCAUCGCUGCAAAACUUGGCUAUUCUCUGGCCUGGAAGGUAAAUUUUUGUUCUUUUGUUGUAAAGUAUCAGCCUUGGUUUGAUUCAAUGAUUGGAAUUUUCUGAAUGAAUUGUCAUUGUGGUAGAUUGAUUUCUUGGGUUUUGCAUAUUAAGUUCCGUGUUGGAAUCUUUGUACUUGUCGGAAACCUUUUCUUAUGGAAAUUAGAGAGAGACAUUACCGAACUGUUGAGUACGACACUUCGAAGAUUUCUCUCGAAUGAGUCUGCACCUUGAGCUAACCUGCUCUUUGAAACCCCUCACUUCACUCACCGAGGUAUAUGUCCCUUAGUUUCCAACAAAAUCAGCAUGUUUCGGGCCAAUUCCAAACCUCAAUGCUCUCGAGCUCCCUAUUUCUUUAUCGCAGAAUGAGUUCACCGAUGAGUUCCUUUAAGUUCAGCCAUCGACUCUACGAUUUUGAUUUAUUGUUUAAUGACUUCCUUGGUGAAAUUCUCGUUAAUAGUAAACCGGUUGGCACAUUUGUUAUAGUCACCAAAAUCCCCAUUAACCUAAAAUAUUGAGGCUUUGUUUAGCUUGAAUGCAGCUUUGUUUCUCUCAUUGGAGAAACGUAAGAGCAUUUCCAUGGUGCUGUUAAUGUCAUGUUGAUACCCAACUAUUGAAGCUACAACCCCAACCUCAUUGCACUGUUAACAGAAACCCGAUCAAACCCCAAAUUUUCAACGCUAUUGAUCAACCAAAAUAAGCCCAUUAUCUUCAAUAGAAAACGUUUUAGGUGAAGUUUCUGUUCUCACUUUGGUUUCUUAAGGGCUUAUUCAUUCUUCUGAGUCUGUGCCUGCUACAAACUUAUAAUUAAGGAACCCAAAUUUUCUUGCAUUUUGCUUCACUUUCUGGCUAGCCAAACAACCUACAAAACAAAAUUCCACCCCUUUCCUUUUCUUAGCCCUCCCCCAUGAUAAAAAUAACAAAAAAAAUUUUCACCUCAAAUCUUUAUUCACAAAAAAUAUUGGAAGCACAUGGCUCGAGGCCUGCAAAAUCUGCUUGUGCACAAGUGAAUCACACUCAGGUUUUGCUUAAAUGGAAAUAGCAAAGAAAGGAAAGUGGAGACUUUGAGUGGGAAAUGAAGCGUUUAACAAAAUUUGGAGAAGCUGAAAGAAGAGAAAUCGAGUUGAAGAAUUAGAAAUGCUUCAUCGAGGGAUGGAUUGGUUGUGGGUGGUGGUGGAAGGCGAAGAAAACAUGGAUUAUACUCAAAUCAAAACAGCUAAUCGAAGAGUAACUUUUCGUACAAAAGGAAUAGUUACUUGUUAUGUUGAAGAACUUGUCUAUAUUGCUUCUCGGAUUGCAAACAUAAUUUUAACCUUUUAUGUUUUCAGUUAUGUACAUUCGGUUAUCCACUUUUGCCAAACAUGGUUUUCCUUUCAUUUCAAAUCGUAACUCCAUACUUUUCUGUUCAGGUUGUGCUGGUAUCUCAAUUGCUUUGUUGGACAGGACAGUUUCUUGGCCAUGGAAUUUUUGAGGUGAGCAAUGUUGUAACCUGUACAAUUUUUUUUUUUUUUGCUUUAAUCAUCUUUUCUCGACUCUUUUAAAACCACUUGCUUAUAUUCGUCAUAGAAACGAGCACCCGCGCUGUUGGACAAUCUUGUUCAAGCUUUACUAAUGGCUCCUUUCUUUGUUUUGCUCGAGGUAGGGCGAAGUACCUUUCAUGUUCCUUCAUGCAAAGUUAUAAACAGUGAGAUUUGAGCUUUUGAUUUGGUACAGGUUCUUCAAUCAUUAUUCGGAUACGAACCAUAUCCUGGUUUUCAGAUGCGCGUAAAUGCAAAGAUCAAAGCCGAAAUCGAGGAGUGGCAGGACAAGAAACAGAAAAAGGUUUCUUAGGUUACAUUGUUGUAAGCUGUAUGUUUGGUAACGAGUAAAUUUAGGUUUAAGUAUAAUGUACUGUUGUGGUAUAAGUGUUGUAAGGCAACAUUGCAUGGAUUUUAAUUAUCCGUGAAAGCAUUGCUAUGAAUUGAACAAUAUUUUGGUGUCUGGAGUAGGACCAGAGAUGUAGUAUAUAAUUAUAAUGCAUUUAUGUAGGUAAUUUUAAAUAUCCAUUCUAGACUGAGUUUGUGUUCUGAGUCAUUUGGAUAGACAUUAACUUUUUUCUUUCACGUCGAGUGUGUGUGUGUGAGUGUCCUAUUCUAAUACAGAUGAUGACAGUAUCAUAAAUAAUUUAUGGAUCUUGAAAAAAUGGAAGAUCCAAUGAGUUCAAUUUUCAAUCCAAUUUCUUAAAUUUUUUUUAAUUAGUACUUACGUGACCCCAAAUAUAUAUCAACUUCAAUCAUAAUAGGGAGGUUUUACACUCUGGAUCGUAAACCCAAAUUCGAUCAAAUUUAUACAACAUUUUGCUUUGAUGCAAGUAGGUUGAGUUAGGUUAGGUGAAAUGGGUUUGAUUUUAAAAAGUGGGUGUUAGUUCAAAUUGAUUUUAUUUUAAAAUGUUCAAGUCUAAGCCCGAACUCAAUUCAAAAAAAUUUAUUUAAAUUUAACUAUAAAAGUAUAUAAAUAUAAUCUUAUUUUAUAUUUUUAUUAUUAUUUCUAAAUAGUAAAUUGUCCAAACUAGAUCGGAAAUAUAAACUCAAAUCUGAUUCAAAGUGGGUAAAUUUGAUUAAUAAAUAUCUCUAGAUACAAUUUAGGUCAAAUGUUUGCUAUUAGGCAUGUACUUUGCAUAAGUUGUGGAUUUAAUAUGCGCACUUUAAUUUGAUCAAUUUUAGUCUUUGUAUUUCUCAAAUUUUGACAAUUUAACCUGACAAAACAGUAGCAGUUAAAUACUUUAGGUUAAAAAUUACUAUAGUCAUGUAUUAUGUGUAGAGUUAGAGAUUUAGUUCAUGUUCUCUAACAGGAUCAUUCUUAGUCAUUAUAUAUUUUUUUUUCGGAUUUCAAAAUUUUAGUCUUAUGUAAACGAAGAAAGUUAAAUCUAUUGACUGGACUUUCUGUAAAUAAUAUGCGGAUAUGACAAGCUGACAUGGCAUUACACAUUUGAUAAUAUGUUUGACGCAUCAAAUUUUAAAAACAAUAAAACUUAACUUGAUGAAUUUAAUAAUUGCCGUUUGGUUAGGACUAAAAUUUAAAGAUUCUAAAAAUACAGGGAUUAAAAAUAACUAAAUUAAAAUACAAAUACUAAAUCCAUGACUUAUCCAAAGUACAGGGUCUACUAGCAUAAUUGACCUGCAGUUAUGGCUACUCUACUCUAAUUUCUUGAACAUUAUGUAAUUGCUAUUGGGAUUAUUGUCGGUGCUUGUUUAUAAGGACACGGUGAGAAAUUAACAUACGACCAAAUCCAACACAUGGAAAAACAUUUUUUAUUUUAUUUAUUAGAUUAAUAAAUUCAACCAUUUAAAAUUAAAGUUUGGUUUGGUGGUUAACAAAAUGGGGAAAGAUGGAUUAGGUUGUAAAAUUAAUAAAUCAAAAGGAAUGAUAAAUACAAUUAAACCUUUUAAAUAUGAUAACCCUGUAUUUAUUUCUAAAUAAUUUACAUUAUACUUAUUUUAUGAUAUUUUAGAAAUUCGCAAGUACUGGAGAAGUGGUUUGUGUAUAUGAUCAAGUCAGGUAGGAGAAUAUAAGAAACUUGAUCCACUUGCACUCCAGCUUUAACCCAAGGAACCCUAAUUGUCAUAUUCAAUCAUGUUUUUUCACUCUCCCCCCAACUGGGUUCAACUAAUGAUUCCUUUGCUUUUAGUGCAUGAUGGUGAUGGAUAUAAAUUUUCAAUUGAGAUAAUUAAUUUCUUAAAGUAAAAACCCAUUAUUAUUAUUAUUAAGACAAUUGACAAGGUUUAGGGAAAUGAUGUUUCUUUAAUUGCAGUUCUAUUAUAUUAUAUUUAUAAGUCAAUUGGGAUUAGUGAAAAGCUUCAAAACAAAGCAAAAACUUGGCGUCUUCACGUGCGCCCCUGUUUCAAAUUUAAUGUCAAUUUCUAUUUUGCAGAUUUAGCACUUAUAUUUUAAUUUCAUCAACUUUUGUCUUUGUAUUUUGUCGAUUUUGAAAAUUUAGUCCAUGGUUUUCGACCGAAUCAUUUUUAGUUGUUAUAUUUUUUGAAUUUCAAAAUUUUAGUUUUAAUAUAAACUACAUUCGUUAAAUCUAUUAAAUUUUUUUUAGUAAUAUGUGAAGAUGACAAUCCGACAUGGCAUUACACGAUAAUAUGUUUGACACGUCAAAUUUUGAAAAUAAUAAAACUUAACUUAAUGAAUCUAAUAGUAUCCAUUUAGUUUGGACUAAAUUUUUAAAAUUCUAAAAGUACAUGGAUUGAAAAUGACUAAAUUAAAAUAUAGGUACUAAAUCGAUAACUUAUUCAAAGUACAGGGCCUAAUUAUAGGAUUUGACCUAAAAUUAAAUUUGAUUAUUUUGAAGACAACAAUAUUAUUUAGUCUAACUUAUUUGCAUUUUGCUGCUUUAUUAUCAUUUGUCAAUAAAAUAUUGUAACUUUUAUGAAAAUUUUGUAAUAUGAGAUAUAAAAGAGAUUUAAAUAUGUUUCUUCUCCUUUAUUCAUUUUCUCCCUUCCAACAAUUUUCUCCUUUUUUUUUCUUUUAUUCACUUCACUUUAGUUUGCAUGUCUAUUUUGUGAAUAUUAUUGGUAUCUUCAUGGGUUGUAAUGGACAAACAUCAAUACUUAUCACCAUCGAACCUACACUGAUCACCAACAUUUUCUCUUGAAAAGUGCAUUGGUCGUAGAUACUUAAAUAGCGACUCUUUGUUGUCUUAUUAAUUUAUUUUUGUUUUGAGGGUAUUUUAGAAUAAUAAAUUAUUUCACAAAUCUAUUUUGACCCGUCUAAUCUUUAAGUUUAAUGUGUUUUGUGUUAUUUCCCAUCGAUUGACAAAUCUUCCCAUUUUCUUAUAAAAAAUGGCGGAAGCUUUUUGUCUUGUCCUGUACAAGUUUUAGUCUUUGUUUAUGUAAGUAAUCUUGCUUUUGCAAUUAUUUUAGUGAUAAAUUUGUUGACAUCCUCUCCAAUUUGUUAGAUGUUCGAUUCUUUUGUUAAUUUUGCUGUCGCUUUGGACCCUCUGAGAUUGGUUAGCGUGACUUAAACUCAAGCUACACUUAAGGCAGUAAACACCUUUAACCAUCAGGCUAUCACACGAGAUUUAGGAAUUGUUACCAACACUUUUGUUAUUAUGGAUGUUAGAAGUAUAACACAUAUGAUUCGCUCAUGUAGUUUUUAGUUUCAUAUUUCUUUGUUAGUAAAUAUGAUAAAAUAUCAUUAAUUUAAUGUUUAAAUUAUAAACUAAAAAAUAAUUACAACUAAUUUAGUGGUUAAAACAUGUUAAAAAUUACAUAUUAUUUAGGGUUAAAUUAUUAUUUGGGCCUUGAAUUAUAAUUAUUUUUACAUUGGGACUUGAACUUUUUAUUGAUUCAAGUUAGGUCUUAAAUUUGACAAUUAUUCUCAUAUUAGGACCUGAACUAGCAAUUGUUCUCACAUUAAGGCUUUAACUUUUUUUUGUCCAAGUUAGUUUCUGAUAUUGGUAAUUGUUCCCAUGUUAAGGCCUAAGCUUGACGAUUGUUCCCACAUUGAGGUAUGAACUUUAGGAUUUUCAAGGAAAUAUCAAUGAUUAAUUUGGAUGAAAAAAAGUUCAAGCCUCAAUGUGGGAAUAAUUAUUAAGUUCAGUGUCUAACUUGAACAAAAAAAAAAUUAGGCCUCAGUGUGGAAACGAUUGCCAAGUUUAGAGUCUAACUUGAACCCCAAAAAAGUUCAAACCCUAAUAUGAGAAUAAUUGUCAAGUUCAAGUCCUAAAAAAUGAUUGAACCCUAUUUUUAUUUUAAAAAUAAAAUAACAUUAUUAUUUAAUGAACUUAUAAUAUAACUACUCUAUUUACAUUCCCUCUUCAUAUAUCAAAACAAUAAAGAUAAAAAAAAAAUAUGAACUUGCAUUUUGCUCAUCCUUUAAAUAUUAUACAAAUACAAUUUUUUUAGAAUGUUAUAUCUAUUUUAUUUAGGGUAAACUACAUUUAUGGUCACUUUUAUUUCCUCAUAUUACAUUUUAGUCACUUAUGUUUGAGAUAUUACGUUUUAGUCACUUACGUUAUCGUGUUGUAAUAUUUUAGUCACUGAAUAAUUAAUUACCAUUAAAUAUGUAACGUUAAACUGAUGUGGCACGUUAAAUUAUUAUUUAAAAUAAAAAUUUUAAAUUAAAUUAUUAAAUUGAUUCCAAUAUUUGUUUCGUUUUCAUUAAUUUAAUUUUUUUGUACAAAUGUUUGACCUAUCAACUUAUGGGUGUGAGUUGCACGCGCUCCACAAAAAGGGCGUGGAGUGUGUGGGAAUUAGGAGUCCUCGUUGUCAUAAUUUUGGGGCUUUGGGCUUUUGAAAUUUUUUUAAUAAUUAUGAACGAAAAGAAAAGAAAAAAAGUUGAAAGUAGCGCGUGAAGGAAAGAUUUUGGACUUGGGAUGGGGACAGAAUCCCGUGAAAGAGAGGGAACGACCAUUAUUGCUUCACUGAUUUUAAUUGUUUUUUACCAUAUCACACGUCUGGGUUAAUUGAUAUGAAUUAAUUAAAUUAUUAUAUUAUUUUUAUCAUUUUUAAUUAUUUAUUUAAUUAGCUCAAACUAAUUAAGAAUUAGUGAUUUUGGUGGUUUGAUGGCUGAUUUAGUUCUAAAAAUAUUAAUUUUUUUAUUUACUCUCUAAUUAUUUAUGGUUAAUUUUUUUACAUCAAAUGUCGAAUUUAAAAUAACUUGAACUUAAUUCGAAAUAUCCCAGAUUGAACCUACUCAAACCCGCUCGAUUGUUACCUCUAUUAUUAAUCAUACAAUCAUUAGUUAUACAAAUUUAAUCAAAUGAAUUAUAAUUAAUUUUACAUUCAAUGAUCCAAUUGAGUCGUUUCCCUACAAGUGUAAUGACAAUAUGUGCAUUUGCAUUUACCUAAUUAUGAACGUAACCGAAUGAUUUAUACUAUUAAUCAUAUAAUAAUUAAUUAUACUAUUAAUAAAAAUAAACUUUGUUGGUUCAAUUCCUUAAACAUUUGCGUGAAGAUUGUGAGGGUGACCUCCAAAAGACCACUAACACGUGAUUGAGCCUUGCAAAAAUUAUUUUAAAUGCCAAAAAAAUUAGAAAGAAAAAGAAAAUAAUAAAGCAAUAUCUAUACAUAAUUUUGAAUUUUUAUUCAAUUUUCAAGCAAGAAAAAAAAUCAAUGGAAAAAAAUAUGUCAUUAAAGUUUCUCUGCAUGGUUCAUUGCUCAAGCAAUUUAACGUAUAGUAUGAUAACAUGUUAUCUCAAGUUUGAAGUUCAUAAAAAUAAAUGUUUUAGAUUUAUUUUUAAAAUCCAAAAAAUCACACCGUAAUCGACACCCAAAAAUUAAAGGACAAAAUGCACUUUUUUUUUUACAUUACUCGGGGUUUUUUUAGUUACUUUAUGAAAAUUUUUGUAUUAAAAGUUUAAUUGUAUUCAACUCUAUUUAUUUAAAAAAAAGAUAAAUUAGUCAUUAUAUAUUAGAUCAAAGAGUAAAUUGAUUAUUUCUAUUAAAAUUUUCAUCUAUAUUUUACUAUUAAAACUUGACAUGGCUGAUAAAAAUAACCAAAUAGUUUCACAUGGCAUGCCACGUGUUCCUCAUUUUGAUGUAUAACGACUAAUUUUUAACAAUAGAAUUUGAUGAAAUUUUUAAUAGAAAGACAAAUUUGCUCUUUGAUCUAACGUAUAAGGAUAAAUUUAAUCCUUUUUUUAUACAGGGGGCAAAAUGCAAUAUGAUUCUUAGUGCAAAGACCUCUAUGGUACUUUUACCGUCUUUUUGGUCUUAUUGUAAUUUUAUUUAUUUACUUAUACAAUGUACAGGGUAAUUUUAUCCAGAAGAAUGAUAAUUAUAAUUAUGAUUAUAGAUUGUAUAAUUCAAAUAAUUACAAUAAAAGUCAAAAGUUACAAUACUAAUAAUAACAAUAUUGAUAUACCUCCUUUGGCCUAAGCCACACGGCAUUGUAAGCCGCCUGUGGAGCACCCACGAACACCCUUUUGCUCACCACUAACUGGCUAGUCACCAGGAGACCAGUAGCAUGAAAGGCUUGAUUCCGACUAACCUCCCAUUUUCCUGAAAUGGAUCCUGGUUGAUCAUAAACCUCUGGUUUUCCCCGAAUGGAUUCUUUCGAGCAUCCAACUAUUCAUUUUGGAAGGAUCUCGGCCACUAGUCCCUCAGGACAUCCACCCUUUUAUUGAAAAUGUGAUUCUUUAAGCCACCACAACUCAAAAUGAAUGACAGAAUAUGUCUUAUUAUAGACAUCCUUCCCGUGCAUUCCACAAUAAUGAUCUAAUAACAAGACCGCCAUGUUACCACUACCAAGCACAGGACCUCCCUUAUACAUAUAUACCUAUUGACACGAUGAAGAGGGGGAUUGACUCUCCAAAAUUCUAGCCUCCACAUUGUCCUUUGCAUCCUUAGCUUCCUUGCUCACUUAUCACCUCUAGCUCUCAUUUUUCGACACUAUCACAUUCACCUCCAUAAUUCCUCCCUUGUUGAUUCCCUAAUAUCAACAAAUAUAUUUCCCAUACAAUAACAAUAUAUUUAAACUUAAACCAAAAUGUAUUUAUAAUCAUAGUAAAUAAUUUACAUAAGUCCAAAUUUCAAACUUAACAAUACCUUUCUUUUUCUUUUUUCUUUUUUCUUUUUUUUUAAUGAAAAAUUAGAUCAAAGCUCAUUUUUUCCCUUAUCAAUAUCAUUAAGCAAUACUUCAUUAAAAAUAUUUUUAUUUUAACAUUUUUAAGAGAAAUAUUAUAUUUAGUUUUAUUUAAAAUGAUAAUAAUUUUAGAAACACAUCUAAUACAAAGAAACAUCCUAUGUAACAUAUCUAAUAAAUUGCCAUUUGUUAUCGUAUAAAAUUGACAUGUAUAAUUAUUAAUUAAUUAAAAAAUAAUUAAGGAUUUAGAAUCAAUUAAUUUAAAAAUACUAAAUAUUCAUCAUACAUUAAUUAUCUAAUAAACAUAUCUUUUAAUAAUACUAUAUUUUCUUUCUUCUCCGACCAAAAUUUUUUUUUAUGACAAUUAUAUUUUAAAACGUAUUAAAAAGACAAUUUAGUUUUCCAUAUUAAUUAUGGUCUACAUCAUAAUUUAAAAAGACAUUUUAAUUAUGACCUACGGUCUUUUGAAGAUAAGCUUAGAAAAUUAAGCUAUCACUAAUCUUAAUGAAAAUUAUCAUCAAUCACUAGUGACGAUCUAGCAUCUUCUUCAAGCCAGCAUCUCACAUAAUGCGAAGAAUCUUCCAGAAUAAUCAGUUUUUAAAUUAUAUGAUUUAUUUCUUCAAAUUCAUAUUAUUCCCAAAAUUUAAUCCCUAAUAUACAUAUUUAACCAAAAUAAGUAAAAAUCGUGAUUUUAAAAAAUAAAAUUAUUCUAUCACAUACAAUUAUAAUUUUAGUAAAUUAUUUUUUCAAGACAUAAUCUUAAUGAAUUUUAUGUAUAUAAAGUGUGUUCAAUUGAACGCACUUUCACUUUCUCUAUUCUAAAAACAGUCUAUUUCUCUAAUUAAAAUUUAAAAUGACCUAAAGUCUUAAUAAAAAAAAUUAGCAUAUUCUACUAAUUUAACCCAAUAAAAUACAAAAAUCUUUAUUAAUCUUAAGUGAAUAUUUGAAAAGAAAAAUAAAAUCAAAAUGUACUUUCCACGUGGCCACUGAAAAAAGGUAUCCAAAGCUUAAUGUUCUUCACGCAUCUCGCGAGAUGAUGAGAUAUAGGUUUUCAUUUGUAAAAUAAAACUACAGUCUAACUCCAGAUUAUUUCUCGGCAUAAUUUGUAAUAUUAAAACCUAAAAAUAACUAUGGAAAAUAAAAUUCAAAAUUGUUGCUUUUUUUAAUAAAGAUAAUUUUUUUUGAAAAAAAAAAACAAAUUUACAUAUGUGCUAACGUGAUAAUUUUUAACAAUUCCAAACUUUUAUACUUUUACUAGUAAAAAGGUAAAAAUUUCACUAAUAAAUUAUUAAAUAAUUAUUAUAUUAAUUUUAUUAAAUAUUAAAAGUUAUUUUUUAUAAUGUGCUAAAUAAUUUAUUUAAUAUACUAAAAUUUCAAUAUUAUAAACGACGUCAGGUGUUUUAUUUAUUUAAUUGGUGUAUCAAAUAAUAAUCUUAAUCAAAUUUAUUAAAUAUUUCAAAUGAGUGAUUAUGUGUUAAAUUAAAUACAUAAUUUAGAUCAUAUUUAAAUUAGUUCACAAAAUUUUAAAUUUAUCUAAAUAAAAAAUAAAUAAAUGACCUUUUUUUUUUAAAAAAAAUUUUAUAACAAACAACUGUUUACCCAUUUUCUUUAUUUGUUUUUUCUUUUUUCGUUUCCCUCUUCUCUCUCUGGCUUUGAGAAAUCUCAAGUUUUCAGCUUCCUUUCCUUCAAAAACCCAAAACCCUUGAAGCGAAAUUUUCAAACCCCAAAAUCCCAAAAUGGGGAAGUACAUUAGGAAGGCCAAAACGGCAGGGGGAGUUGCCGUAAUGGAUGUCUCGCAGGCUUCCCUCGGUGUUCGGACCCGAGCCAAAACCCUCGCACUUCAACGCCAGAAAUCGUCGACUUCUCCGGCUACGGUUGCUUCGGCUCCGGCUUCAGGAGACGGCUCGUAUCUACAGCUUCGGAGUCGACGGUUAGAGAAGCCGCCGCUUGUGGUGCACCACCAUGAUUCGAAGAGGCACAAGCAGCAGCAACAGCAACAACAGGGGUGUAAGAAGGAUAACUUUGGACAGAAUCCUAACCCUAGCUCGAAUUCUAGGGUUCGAGUGGGUAGCGAAAAGAAAAAGAAAGGUGAAGUUGGAAGCCAAGACACUGUGCAAGAAGACAAUGGAAAUGAUAAUAUUAUUAACUACAGCAAUCUUAACAACGAUAAUAAUAAUGAAAGCAAUGAUUUUGGUGGUGUUGAAACUUCUUUUGGAGAAAAUGUUUUGGAUAUUGAAGCUAGAGAGAGGUUGGUUCAUUUCUUCUCUCUUUUUAUUUCUUUUUUAUUAUUUUUCGCAUUGGAUUUGGAAUUUUGGGUUUUAAUUUUUUCUAUUGGAGCUUUCAUUUUAAUUGCUUAUUCCUUUUAAGGAAAAACCUCUCGUGGCUGUUCGAUUUUCUUUUAUUGGGAAACAAUACAGAGUUUUGAUGUGAACAACACUUAAUUUUAUUUUAUUUUUUUUAAUUUUAGAACCCAGGAAAAGUAGAAACUUUUACUUCAACUGAGUUCUUGAGUAUGUAGUUUUAGGAAGAAUUUUAAGUAUUUUGGACUAUAUUUCAUGUAUUUUUGUUAGACCAUGCAUUUACCCCCUUGCCUUUGAUGGCUUGGACACUUAGGUUCCCCACAAAACAUGAAAAAAAUUAAAAAGAAACCUUAAUUCAUGUAGGGAUUCUGCUAUAAUAAAAUAUAUUCUAACUAAUAGGAUUUCUUGCUUUGCUACUAUGGGUUUUUUUUGAGUCAUUCCAACUUCUUUUUGUUUAUAGGCUGAUUGAGCUCUGGGUUCUAAUUUAGUUCUAUUUUCCCCCCAAGUUUUUUGCAGUGCUUUUUUCUAGCAAGGUUUAGAAAUUAUCUUUAUGAUAUAAGAUUCCCUUGAAUCAAUUGCUUAGAAGAAGUAUUCUUUGUUUGUGUGAAAUUGUUGCAAUUUUAUCUCUGAUCUGUUUCUGUAGUCUUUCCCUUGCAGAGAAAUUAAGUCACUCGACUUAUAUCCUUUAUUGCCUCACAAGCAAAACUUGGCUAUUAAUUGUUCUUGCUGUUUUGGGUGCUUCUGCAUUUUGAUAUUUUGAAUUUGAUGGAAGCAAGUAGUUGUAUUGUGGUAGAAACCCUUGUUUCUGAAAUAAAAUUAUGCCAUUACCAGCUAUGUUACUGGGACUUGGUGUAAGUGUCGGAUAUGAAUUAAUUUAUGUGCAUUGUAUAUAUAUUUGUUCAAUUUAUUCUUAGCUUUUUCAUGUAUUUGGAAAAUCAUAUCUUCGUAUCUUAUAGACCCAUAUCCAUAUGUUGGACAAGGGUGUCAUACAAAAGUAUUUCAAGAAAAAUGAAGAGCCUGAAGAAUAUAGAUUACCAGCCUUCCCUUGUCACUCGCAACUUUUUCUGUUUUGUUAAUAUAAUUGAUUCCUGCCCCAUUUUUUUCCCUUUCAUUUAAACUUAUUAUGCUUUUAAAAACUUGGGUUUGUCUAAUUCUGUGGUGAUAUAUAUUAAAUAUCUUUAGGCCCUUCCAUUUAGGUAUUUGUAGGCAUCUAUGCUGCUAAAUUAUUCUAAUGGAAAGAAACAAAACUAUUUCGUGUUUGCCAACUGAGUAUUAACUGGAGUUGCGGGUUUGAUGUAACGUUCCUCCAAUUUAAUUAGUUAGGGUUUUUUUUUUUUUUGGGGGGGGGGGGCAUGGGUAGUUUAGGAAAUGUACAAAAAAAAAAACCAUUUUGUGUUUGUUUUCUUUUUUUCAUAGGGAUAAAUGUUCAAUUUGAGCUUAUCUCUUUGGAAGGUGUCUAAUUUACCUUAAUUUUCCAAACUUGAGCAUAGGAUAUUCUGACAAGAGCCUUUAGUUAGUGGAUGUCAAAUCUGAUCAUGUGGAGAUUCUAAUAACCAGAAGAUUUGUUUUUGUGACUCUUCUUUGCUUGAUACUUUUCAAGUUUGCUGCUUUGCUUUUGCUUUUUACUAUUUGCUUGAUUAAGCCAAAUUACUAUGAUAAAUUUUAUUUAGUUUCAGUUGUCACCCCCUCUUCACCCCGCCCCCCC